rnacentral:lncRNA from 1 species
CAUCAUCAUAUUAAUGUAACAUGUAAAAAAAGGAAACAAUAACACAAUAUCUCAAUAAUAAGAUAAAUAUAUAUAAAAAAUCAAAACACCAACGGAAGCAACGGGUCAACAUCAAUGACAAUUAUUUAAUUAAUUGGUUUUAUAUGGGUCAUGGAGUAGGGAGAUCAUACCGACAUCCUAUUACAUCAAGUCGAAAUCGAAUCAUCGGAGGCAUUCUCUUUGAGCUCCCUCGUCGCCGCCGUCACAAAUCCUUUGUUUAAAUUCAUUCUCUUAGCCAUCGCCGCAACUACCAUCAUAUGAAAUUUAACAAUGCAUUUAUUGGAUAAUGCAUACCUCUCAUUAUCUACUAUUAGACCCUACUUUAUCUGAGACUCUGAUAGUUUUUCCCCAAUAAAUGCAUCCACGCUCUUCUUAAGGGAAGUGAAGUGUUUUUUAAUGCGUUUACAUUAUCCUAGAAAGUGACCAACUGAUUUCUAUGGAGUUGUAAUUGUAAGUCCCUAGUUCUGAUCAUUACUACAAAUAUUCUGGUCCUCGUCAACAAUAAGAAUAGUUUUAUUUGAGUGUAAGUCCUUCAGGAUUCCGGUUUGAGCAAGAGUAAACAUGAAUGACUGUACAUACAUUAGUAUUUUGUAUUUAUCUAUUAUUUCUUUGCAAUUUGAGUGAUUAAAAAUAUACGCUCUUCUUAAGUGAA